rnacentral:tRNA from 1 species
GCCUGGGUGGCGAAACCGGUAUACGCAGCGGACUUAAAAUCCGCCGGGGGCGACCCCAUGCGGGUUCGAGUCCCGCCCCAGGCA